GCAUAUGUCCGCAUGCGCAUACUAUGACCGUAUCUGCAUGCUUGAGUCAAGUUAGAUAACCACAAAACCGUAUUUUCUAAGUUGUAGUAGCAAACUAAACAUACGACGCAAGUUUUAUAACUCCCAAUGAUAUUACCUCAAAAAUCAAGAUAGGCCACCAACAGAUACAACAAAAGACAUCUCGGUUCUAAGGUAGGAACCCACGCUGGACAUGAACAAACGAGGGUUCAACAUCUAUAUCUGUUUACAGCACCGCGGAACGCUAUAAGCACAAAGAGGAACGGCCUGAGAUAGCAACCACCUUGCUUCAAAAUCCUGUCCAGAACAUAGGAAGAACAUAAGUACAACAAGAUCACAACAUUGAUUUUGAUUUUGACGCAUGUUCUGACAUUGCACCAAAUCCUGGCUCUGCCACGCUGCAUGUGAUUCACCAUCACAUGGAGAGAAGAGAGUACGACAUUUACCACUGUUGGUUGUUUGCAUACGCAUGGAUACUCAUCACAGACAACUAGUAUUACUGGCAGACAAGUACUACUCCUACCUCCUAGUUUGACCUACCGAUGACUUGGGUUGAGUCGUCGUCGGGUAGAUUGUGACGCCCCCGAUUCAAUCGUAUACUAAUUAUAUAUGCAAACGUGUACGAUCAAAAUCAGGGACUCAUGGGAAGAUAUCACAACUCAACUCUAAAAAGUAAAAUAAGUCAUACAAGGAUCAUAAUACAAGCCAGGGGCCUCGAGGGCUCGAAUACAAAUGCUCGAUCAUAGACGAGUCAGCAGAAGCAACAAUAUCUGAGUACAGACAUUAGUUAAAUAAGUUGCCAUAACAUGGCUAGCACAAACUGGGAUACAGAUCGAAAGAGACGCAUGCCUCCUGCCUGGGAUCCACCUAAACUACUCCUGGUCGUCGUUAGCGGUGGCGUCAAGCUCCUGGGCUCCAGCAUCUGGUUGCGACAACCAGGUAGAAUAGAAAGGGGAAAAAGAGGGAGAAAAACAACCGUGAGUACUCAUCCAAAGUACUCGCAAGCAAGGAUCUACACUACAUAUGCAUGUGUAUCUGUGUAAAGAGGCAAUAUUGGUGAACUGAACUGCAGAAUGUCAGAAUAAGAUGGGGAUAGCCAGUCCUGUCGAAGACUACGCUUCUGGCAGCCUCCAUCUUGCAGCAUGCCGAAGAGAGUAGAUCGUAAGUUCACCAAGUAUCAUCGCAUAGCAUAAUCCUACCCGGCGAUCCUCCCCUCGUCGCCCUGUGUCAGAGCAAUCACUGGGUUAUAUCUGGCACUUGGAAGGGUGUGUUUUAUUAAGUAUCCGGUUCCAGUUGUCAUAAGGUCAAGGUACAACUCCAAGUCGUCCUGUUACCGAAGAUCACGGCUAUUCGAAUAGAUCAACUUCCCUGCAGGGGUGCACCACAUUACACAACACGCUCGAUCCCCUUUGGCCGGACACACUUUCCUGGGUCAUGCCCGGCCUCGGAAGAUCAACACGUUGCAGCCCCACCUAGGCACAACAGAGAGGUCAGCACGCCGGUCUAAAUCCUAUGCGCGCAGGGGUCUGGGCCCAUCGCCCAUUGCACACCUGCACAUUGCGUGGGUGGCCGGAAGCAGACCUAGCCCCCUUAAUAUAAGAGCAGGCUUAUGGUCCAAUCCGGCGCGCGCCGCUCAGUCGCUGACGUCAAGAAGGCUUCGGCUGAUACCACGACGUCGAGUGCCCAUAACUAUUCCCGCGUAGUUGGUUAGUGCGUAUAGGACAGUGGCCAGACUCAGAUCAAAUACCAAGAUAUCCUUAAGCGUGUUAUUUGAAGUAUCCGCGAACGCCGACCAGGGCCAGGCCCACCUCUCUCCUAGGUGGUCUCAACCUGCCCUGUCGCUUCGCCACAAAGUAACAGUCGGGGGCCGUCGGGAACCCAGGCCCACCUCUACCGGGAUGGAGCCACCUGCCCCUUCAGCCCCCAUCUCCGAACAGUAUCAUAAGUAAUGUAACAAUAUAAAGUAUAUAGAAUAUGCCCGUGAUCACCUCCCGAAGUGAUCACGACCCAGUAGUAUAGCAUGACAGACGGACAAGAGUGUAGGGCCACUGAUGGAAUACUAGCAUCCUAUACUAAGCAUUUAGGAUUGCAGGUAAGGGUAACAAAUGUAGCAACAAUGACAGGCUAUGCAGCAGAAUAGGAUUAACUGGAAGUAGUAACAUGCUACACUACUCUAAUGCAAGCAGUAGAGAGAAGGAAUAGGCGAUAUCUGGUGCUCAAGGGGGAGUGGGGGGCUUACCUGGAAGCUCAGCCGAGAAAGAGGGGUCGUCAACACCGUAGUCGUGCUGGGUAGCAGCGGCGUCGGUCUCAGUGU
rnacentral:lncRNA from 1 species